UGGCGGACGGGUGAGUAACGCGUGGGUAACCUGCCCUGUACUGGGGGACAACAGUUAGAAAUGACUGCUAAUACCGCAUAAGCGCACAGGACCGCAUGGUCCGGUGUGAAAAACUCCGGUGGUACAGGAUGGACCCGCGUCUGAUUAGGUAGUUGGCGGGGUAACGGCCCACCAAGCCGACGAUCAGUAGCCGACCUGAGAGGGUGACCGGCCACAUUGGGACUGAGACACGGCCCAAACUCCUACGGGAGGCAGCAG
rnacentral:rRNA from 1 species